rnacentral:rRNA from 1 species
UACCCAAUAGGCCAUUAUGCCUGGAAUGGUUUAUGGCUUAAAUGAUUUAUCGCCAUAGGAUGGGACUGCGGCCUAUCAGCUUGUUGGUGAGGUAAUGGCUCACCAAGGCUAUAACAGGUACGGGCUCUGAGAGGAGGAGCCCGGAGAUGGGUACUGAGACACGGACCCAGGUCCUAUGGGGCGCAGCAGGCGAGAAAACUUUGCAAUGUGCGAAAGCACGACAAGGUUAAUCCGAGUGAUUUCUGCUAAAGGAAUCUUUUGUUAGUCGUAGAACCACUAGUGAAUAAGGGGUGGGCAAGUUCUGGUGUCAGCCGCCGCGGUAAUACCAGCACCUCAAGUGGUCAGGAGGAUUAUUGGGCCUAAAGCAUCCGUAGCCGGCUAGGUAAGUUUUCUGUUAAAUCCAUGCGCUUAACGUAUGGGCCGCAGGGAAUACUGCCUAGCUAGGGAGUGGGAGAGGUAGACGGUACUCCGUAGGAAGGGGUAAAAUCCUUUGAUCUAUGGAUGACCACCUGUGGCGAA